ACUUCAUCAACAAAAUUUAAUGCACAAGAUUGGGAGAUGGAUGACUUCUCGGCCUUUUUUGACCUUGUGUACUCCACUCGUGUGUCGGGAGAAGGUGAAGACAAGAUAUAUUAGCGUCCCUCUAAGAAGGGAGUUUUUACGGCCCGCUCUUUUUAUCAUUCUUUGAACUUGCACAAUUAUGUCCCAUUCCCAUGGAAAAGUAUUUGGAAGACAAAGGCACCUCUAAAGGCCGCUUUUUUUGUAUGCACAACUUCUUUGGGGAAGAUUCUUACAAUAGAUAACCUCAGGAAACGUGUCAUUAUAGCUAUGAAUUGGUGUUACAUGUGCAAGAAGAGUGGUGAGUCUGCUAACCAUCUAUUACUACAUUGUAAGGUUGCCAGGACCUUGUGGACCGAAGUCUUAGCACGUGUAGGGUUGGUGUGGGUGAUGCC